rnacentral:rRNA from 1 species
CAGCAGCCACGGUAAUACGAAGGGUGCAAGCGUUAAUCGGAAUUACUGGGCGUAAAGCGUGCGUAGGCGGUUUGUUAAGUCUGUUGUGAAAUCCCCGGGCUCAACCUGGGAAUGGCAAUGGAUACUGGCAAGCUAGAGUGUGUCAGAGGAUGGUGGAAUUCCCGGUGUAGCGGUGAAAUGCGUAGAGAUCGGGAGGAACAUCAGUGGCGAAGGCGGCCAUCUGGGACAACACUGACGCUGAGGCACGAAAGCGUGGGGAGCAAACAGGAUUAGAUACCCGCGUAGUCCCUGUCUCUUAUAA